GGGAACCCCAAAACCCCAAAUGGGGCCGGGACAGGAACCCAAAUGGGCCCAGACUGAACCCAAGACCUCAAAUGGGGCCGGAACAGGAACCCAAACCCCAAAUGGGGCCAAACCCCAAAUGGGGCCGGGACAGGAACCCCAAACCCCAAAUGGGGCUGGAAUGGGAACCCCACAACCCCAAACGGGGCUGGGGCUGAACCCUGGAACCCCAAAACCCCAAAUGGGGCCAGGACAAGAACCCCAAACCCCAAAUGGGGCCGGGAUGGGAACCCAAAACCCCAAAUGGGGCCGGGACUGAACCCCAAACCCCAAAUGGGGCCUGAACCCCAAAUGGGGCCGGGGCUGCAGGAAUUCCCUUCUCCCCAUCCAACUCUUCCAGGAUUAUCCCUAAAAUCCAGCAGGAAAACCCAAAAUUAUCCCCAAAAUCCAGCAGGGAAAUUCCCAAAAUUAUCCCCAAAAUCCAAAACAGAAAUCCGGGAAUUAUCCCCAAAAUCCAGCAGGGAAACCCCAAAUUAAUCCCCAAAAUCCAGCAGGGAAAUUCCCAAAUUAUUCCUGAAAUCCAGAACAGAAAUUCUGGGAUUUAUCCCCAAAAUCCAGCACAAAAAAUCCCAAAGUUAUUCCCAAAAUCCAGCAGGGAAACCCCAAAAUUAUCCCCAAAAUCCAGCACAAAAAUCUGGGAUUAAUCCCCAAAUUCCAGCAAGAAAAUUCCCAAAUUUAUCCCCGAAAUCCAGCAGGGAAAUUCCCAAAUUAUCCCCAAAAUCCAGAACAGAAAUCUGGGAUUUAUCCCCAAAACCCAGCACAAAAAUCCUGGAAUGAUCCCAAAAAAAUCAGCACAAAAAUCGGAUUUAUCCCCAAAAUCCAGCACAAAAAUCCCAAAAUUAUCCCCAAAAUCCAGCAGGGAAACCCCAAAUUAAUCCCCAAAUUCCAGCAGGAAAAUUCCCAAAUUAUUCCUGAAAUCCAAAACAGAAAUCUGGGAAUUAUCCCCAAAAUCCAGCACAAAAAUCCCAAAAUUAUUCCCAAAAUCAUUCCCAAAAUCCAGCAGGAAAAUUCCCAAAAUUAUCCCCAAAAUCCAGAACAAAAAUUCCAAAAUUAUCCCCAAAAUCCGGGAUUUUAUCCCAAAAUCCGGGAUUUUACCCCCAAAAUCCGGGAUUUUACCCCCAAAAUCCGGGAUUUUACCCCCAAAAUCUGGGAUUUUAUCCCCAAAAUCCAGGAAGGAAAUCCCAGAAUGAUCCCAAAUAUUUUCCCGUUAAAAACCCCAAUUAAGAAUGAAAUUAAAUAGAAAAUUUAAAUUUAUAUGUAAAUAAAAAAUGUGAUUCUAGAAGUAAUUAAUAAAUU
rnacentral:lncRNA from 1 species